rnacentral:lncRNA from 1 species
GCGCAGACGGCGGAGAGCAGAGAGGGAGCGCGCCUUGGCUCGCUGGCCUUGGCGGCGGCUCCUCAGGAGAGCUGGGGCGCCCACGAGAGGAUCCCUCACCCGGGUCUCUCCUCAGGGAUGACAUCAUCCGUCCACCUCCUUGUCUUCAAGGACCACCUCCUCUCCAUGCUGAGCUGCUGCCAAGGGGCCUGCUGCCCAUCUACACCUCACGGUCAGAGGGCACUAGGAGCACGGUUUCCUGGAUCCCACCAACAUACAAAGCAGCCACUCACUGACCCCCAGGACCAGGAUGGCAAAGGAUGAAGAGGACCGGAACUGACCAGCCAGCUGUCCCUCUUACCUAAAGACUUAAACCAAUGCCCUAGUGAGGGGGCAUUGGGCAUUAAGCCCUGACCUUUGCUAUGCUCAUACUUUGACUCUAUGAGUACUUUCCUAUAAGUCUUUGCUUGUGUUCACCUGCUAGCAAACUGGAGUGUUUCCCUCCCCAAGGGGGUGUCAGUCUUUGUCGACUGACUCUGUCAUCACCCUUAUGAUGUCCUGAAUGGAAGGAUCCCUUUGGGAAAUUCUCAGGAGGGGGACCUGGGCCAAGGGCUUGGCCAGCAUCCUGCUGGCAACUCCAAGGCCCUGGGUGGGCUUCUGGAAUGAGCAUGCUACUGAAUCACCAAAGGCACGCCCGACCUCUCUGAAGAUCUUCCUAUCCUUUUCUGGGGGAAUGGGGUCGAUGAGAGCAACCUCCUAGGGUUGUUGUGAGAAUUAAAUGAGAUAAAAGAGGCCUCAGGCAGGAUCUGGCAUAGAGGAGGUGAUCAGCAAAUGUUUGUUGAAAAGGUUUGACAGGUCAGUCCCUUCCCACCCCUCUUGCUUGUCUUACUUGUCUUAUUUAUUCUCCAACAGCACUCCAGGCAGCCCUUGUCCACGGGCUCUCCUUGCAUCAGGUAGGGGCUUUGCAGAGACCAUCGACGGGCUGACUUGAGUAAGAACACGAAUUAUGCAUGUGGCCAUUUCCAGAGCACUUUCUAUGUGAUAUGAACAUGUGAUUUUUAUGUAAUAUGUGUAUGUAAACGAGGCAGCCUCAUUUCCAGGUGAGGAUGCAUUUGGUAGUGUUGAUUUUUGUAAUUUAAAGAAGCUGAAAGGGAGAGAGGACCCGUGAGGACUGAACUCUCUGUCCCAUGGGGUAGGGCUUACAUUUACAUUAAAGAAACAGAAACUUGCUGGGAGGUGUAAGUAUUUGGUCACAUUGCUGGCAACAGAAGGGGUUGGAGUUGGACCCAGGGUGCCACGCUAGCUGCCCUCACCCCUUCUUCCCCUCUGGCCCAGAGUUAUACUAAGAGUCCUUUUAUUUCAAACCAAAUGUUUGACAAUGGGACAGUCUGUUUGAAAUCCCAGCUGCCUGGGGUGGUCUUGGGGGUCUGGGUGGCCCCAGUGCUGGUACCAUGUGCUGGCUUCACCUUUUAAUAACAGUGUGACCUUAAACAAGUCGCUUAACUACUCUAAGUUUCAGUUUCUUUCAUGGUCUAAAUGGAGAUUAAAACACACACACACACACACACACACACACACACACACACACCCCCUCGUGUAUCUACCCCACAGGGCGCUUUUGAAGACCAAAUGCUGUAACUACUAUGAAAGUGCUUUGUAAAUUGCUGUGGAAAGUGUGAGCUACUCAAGCACCCGAGGCUGUCCCUCCUUGCUCACAUGUCCAGCCCAAUUCUCCCUUAGUGAGAACAGCACUCAGUAGGUGCUGUGUGUGUUUGUGUUCAAUUAAGAAAUUCCAGAAUAAAUAAAAAUGAAUUAAUUCAACAAACAUUUUCUGGGGCACCGACAAUCUGCCCAGUGCACCAGGCUAGGUAUCUGAUACAAAGAUAAUGAAAACAGUCUCUUGGAACCUAAUUGGGGUCCUCAUUUGACCAGGAAUUUCUUUCGUCCCGUUUUAAGCCAACCAGUUUUGUCCGGACAAGACAAAAACAACUUGGGCUGCUUUAGAGAAGCCCAGCUCAGUGUAGACAAUAGCUGCCCAGCCUCUGAAAGGGGCUGAUUGGAUUAUGUGGCAAAUGGAGGUGCAAGGAUGACUUGGACGGUGACAAAUGAAGUGGGCGGAGACCUGCUUUGAGUUAAUCCAGGCUAUUAGGAGGGGACCUUUUGUCUUCCAGAGACUGGCAGGAGCUUUUACCAGUGGUUUUUACAUCCUUAAUGUUCAGGACGAAUAAUUUAUGGUCAGUGAAAAUCCAGGCCCCAGUGAGAUUCGAGUGGGCUGUAAAAUCGAGAGUCCUGCUCCCAGUGAGUAAUGGUAGUGAAUGUUUCUGUCACUUUUUGCAACCGUCCAUUCAUUUGAUCCUCACAACUCCCUGUCCUGAGCCAGGACCGGCCACUGCCACUCCCAGGGAAACAGAGGCUGUCAAGAGGCUCCACAGAUUGGGCCCCACUGGAUCAUUGAACCCCUGUUCCCUGAGUUCUAGAGGAAGAAUUGUACCUGUCUCAGUCCCGGCCACCUCCAGAAGGCCUCCCUCUGCAUUUCUGACUUUGCUGUGCCGGCAGCCUGGAGCCUCCCAGGUCCCUGCUGUCAUCUUUUCUAGCCACUACAGUCUCUGUCUUUCCUUUCACAGCCAAGCUUCUUGAAAGGCCUGUCUACACUUGCUGUCUUCCUUCCUCACCUCCAAUUUCCUCUUCAACCCACUGCUUCCUGACUCGCUCUACUCCGUGGAAGCACGCUCACAAAGGUAAAGACUUUUCUGUGGCUUAAUCCUUGUCAUGUUUUCGGCUCAUGGACACAAGGACACAUUUUCAUGCCUUCUCUCACAGGGCUCUGCGUCUCCGGUUCACUUCUGUGUCUUUACACUCCCUUCACAGAGACACUUGCUCCCCCUUCUCUCGUUCUUAGCAUCCCCUAGGAACUUGCACACCCAGGUCUCUCGACUUCUGGACCUGCUUCUUACCAUGCCGUCUUAAGCAGUCAGGAGUCGCUGCCUGGGUUCGAGUCCUAGUUAAAUUACUUAGUGCUGAGACCUUGGGGUAGGUAAACUUUUCCAAGCCAGGUUUAUCUCAGUUUCAAAAUAGGGUUAAUCGUCUUUAUCUGGCAGGUCAGGUGGGAUGUCUCACAGGUAAGCACCAGAUGCCAUUUGAAAGGCUUGAAGCAAAGUCAAUAAAGCAUUCAUGGGAAAAUACAACUGGAGGCACCACUAGAUUUUCGUAUACAUUAGGUUCCCACGGGGAGGACCGAAGAGAGAAGAAAGAAGUGGAAAGGGAGGAGCGUGCAGGAGAGACAGGAGAAGAGAAUAACUAAACAAAGACAUUAAAGACAAAAAAAAAGUAGGAAAGGGAGACUUAGAAAAUAUUAAAAGCCACCAAAAACACAUCCAAAGACGGUUUCCCCUUACGUUAGUUGGGCUAAAAGAAAGCAAAUGGGAAGAAGGUUUUAAAUUGAUUAUCCCAGUGACAAAUCCCAGGAAGCUUUCACAUCAAAUCACCCUAUUCUGGGUUUUUAACUCCUUCCAUCGAGUUUAACCUCUUUACCUCCCACAUCCUGGUAAACCCUGCCCCCUCCCUACCGCCCCCUUUGCUGGUGAUUAAAUCCUGAAGGUACACGAAGUAUUUCAGUGAAUGAAUGGCUAACAGAAAAGGGCCUCCCCUCCCCCUUACCCUGGCGGUGUUUUUCAGUUUUAUUCCACUUUCCGCCCUUUUCCCUUAAUGAACACAGGGCUAAUCUCGGGCCUUGUCGAAGGAAGAGGCUGCAGACGUUAAUGAGGUUAGCUGCUGGAUUCCAGUAUUCGUCGCAUAAGGAUCCUUCUUUGUCUGCGAAGGAAAAACACACUGAUUAUCAUAAUGAGGUGAACUGGCCACCGCCGGGCCGGGGCGAUGUGGCUUCUUAAGCCACACUUCUAAUUUUGGUGAUGGAGCCGACAUUUCUUUGGCUUCUCAUUUAAGUCUUUGCCUCUGUCCCAGUGCGAAGUCCAUUCAGCGGGGUUGAAAGUUGCAGGCAGCUUUGGGAAGGGGGGCGUCGGACAGGGUUGCAUUGUAGAAAGUGGCUUUGUUCGAUCCUUCGCACAGAUGCAAAUGGCCAGAGCAUUCAUUCCCUUUCUUCAAGAGCUGAGGACUGGGGGGGCCACUGGUGAUCAGUUCCCAACUCUAGCUCUCCUCUGACUCAUCUCAGGACCCAUUGAGGACAUCCAAAACUCACUCAAGAUCACCAAGUGGUAGGAAAGUACUAACUCCUGGGCAUAGCCCUAGGGGAGUGACUACAAUGUGAAUACUCAUGGAAUGCCUAGCCAGGUGAAGAAGUGAAUGCAUGUUGGCAUCCCAGAGGGACCCCCCUUAAGAGGGCAUAGUUUGGGGUUCAGAUUUGACUCCAGCAUACUGUUGAAAUUGGGCACAGGGGGCUAGUGAUUAGUCAGGAUCAAUCAGUGGAGAGGAGAUUAAAACUCACAUCUGGGAGUCCGGAAUCAGAACUUGUAGUUCUUUUUUUUGAAAUGGAGUCUCGCUCUGUCGCCCAGGCUGGAGUGCAGUGGCGUGAUCUCGGCUCACUGCAACCUCUGCCUUCCGGGUUCAAGCAAUUCUCCCACCUCAGCCUCCUGAGUAGCUGGGAUUACAGGCGCCCACCACCACAGCCGGCUACUUUUUGUAUUUUUAGGAGAGACGGGGUUUCACCAUGUUGGUCAGGCUGGUCUUGAACUCCUGACCUCAUGAUCCACCUGCCUUAGCCUCCCAAAGUGCUGGGAUUACAGGCGUGAGCCACCAUGCCCAGCCCUAUAGUAGUUCUUCUUUUGCCCCUUAAUAUCUUCACCCACAUGUCCUGUACCCUGCCUGAACCCUCCUCCUCUUUUUGUUCUGAUCUUUGAGCUCCCUAGAGCCCAUAAUUCUUUAGAGCAGGUAUGUCCCGAGUCUGAAACAUGCCCUUAUUUGUCCCAAGCUCUGGACAUUUCUCACCCCAAGGCGGAUCAAUCAUGAUUAAAUCACUCCAAUUAAACUUUAGGCUCCAGUCAGACCUUCAGCCAAAUGGAAAAAAAAACUAGGGGAUAAGGGAGGUAGUUGGAGCAAGAAAAUGUUAUUAGUUGAAACCUUACGGGACCUUCCUCCCUUAGUGAGUCUGUUGGCUAAAGGUUCUCUGGCUUCGUGAAUUAGAAUCGGAUACUGUUUCCAAGUUAGCAAAACCAACUCUACCCCAGCACCCCACGAGGAAGAAUGUGGAAGGAUCUCCCAUUGGCCGGUUGGGGCAAAAGCCUGAGGCAAUCUUUCAUCCCCUUUUGCCAAGGCGAGACUUUCCCAGUGACGGUGAUGUAGUUGGCCACUCUGACUAUGGGUGGACUCGGGUGUAGACCUCUGAAGCUGAGAUCACACGAAAACCUGGCCUCCCCGCCAUGUAGCUGUUGGAGAGUAGAAAAAUAGAGCACGCCUGAUGUUUCUAAAUGAGAAGACUUUCAAUAGUAAUGAAGAAUCCAUGGCACUCUCCUCACCCUCAAACACAUGGCAGUCAUUCACAUACAGGCCCCAAAGCCACUGUUAGUGCUGCAGUAGCUCCUGUGGACAUUGGAAAGCCCGGAGAGGGCGUGGAAGAAAUCAGCUGGCCCCCGGCAGGUUCUCUGGGGUUUUGUGCCCAAGGCUCCUGGAGCCCUAAAAACUUUCAAAAGUUAACUCCCCACGUCCCCAUCCUGCUUGGGUUUCUGGACUUUUCUGAGGCACCGGCAGAGGGGUCUCGUUGCUCCCUUGAGUGUAGGGGCAGCCCUUUAACCUGGCUCCUUGAGUCCCUGCUUUUUCUGCUUCUGUUGCCUUCUUCCUCGUCUUCCUCUCUCUCAAUAUCUCCCUCUCUUUGUCCCUCCCCAGUUCCUGACCUGGCCAUCCCGGGGUGCCCUUGACCAGCCCCGUGUCUCCUCAGGGUGUCCCAGCACCAGCCUGGCACAGAGUGGGGCUCAGUUAGAGUAUGUGGGAUGUUGGUUUCGCCAGGUGAGUGAAUGAAAGGACUCGACCACCACAGCUGAGCCACUAGCUGGGCCAUGCGAAGAGUUCUAGGUGCAAAGGCUGGAGGGUGGAAUUCAUUUUUGAGAGGUGUGUGAGCAGCUUCCGACCCCUGCCCCAUUUGAACGGGGGCCUUGCUGGUCGCGUCCCUGCAUUCACCCGCGCGGCCAUCCCGUCAUCCAACAGUUGAUCCUAACUGAGCACGCCCACGGCCCUGGUCUGGCCUGGGCACCGGCCACCGUAGCCCAUCCCUUGAUGGCCUCUGUGUCCCCAGGAGGGCGGGCCGGGGGGUUGCCCAGGGGCUGGAGCAGUGGACUGUGGCUCCAUAGAGGUAGGCCGGAGGGUGUGAGGGCAGAUUCAAGCUAUCCCCAGGGCUCUGCUCUGGUCGGAGCCAGCCCCUUCUCCCUCUCUGCCUUCCCCGCCCCAUUCCUGAUGCUGAACUGUUCUGGACCCCUGGCCCUGAGUCUCUCAGGACCAAAGUGGGCACGGGAACAGCUGUAGUGUGUGCCCCCCCGGGCUUUGGCCACAGGUCUCCCUCUCGAGGUGUGGUUGUGACUGCGACCCUUCCCUUGCCGUGAUGCCUUCCUCCCCCGGGGCUUGGUCCAGCUCCUUCACUCUCUAGCAGCUGCUGGGGCCCACCUCCCAUGCCGAGGACCAGCAGGGGAAACCUCCAGGGAGCAUCUGCAGGCUCUGCUUCUGCCCGGCUGCUGGCUUGCUCUCCCUGGUGGCUCUCCAGCGGCCAGCUUCCUCACCCACCCGGCACUCCGCUUUGCUCUGUCUCCUGAGGUGGGCCUGACCAACCUCCCCUUCUCUGCCUCAGUCCCUGGGCUCCAGGGCUCAGCUCCACAGCCCUCUGCCUAGCAGGCUGGUUCUCCCUGCCAAGCCCAUACCUGUGGUCACCUGGCCCUCCUGUGGUCUGAGUACCACUCCCCUGCCCCAGGAGCCACUCCCACUCCAGCUGCCUGUUUCCAGCAGGUUCCCAGUGCCCCCGACAAGCCCCUGCUGGUGUCUCCAUCUCCUGCCAAGCAUCCUCCAGUGCCUCCUCCUGUGGGCCUGGCCUCAGGGCUAUGGACAGACUCCUGUCCCAUCCCAGAGACCCCUCGUGAUCGUGCCCUGCCCGUUGCUGCUUUGCACCUUUUCCUGUCAUUGGGCAUCCCCCAGUAGUCACCCCACUCCACCGAAAAGUAAACUGCAGGCACGUGGGCCGUGGCCCGGCUGGGUCGGCUGAAGAACUGCGGAUGGAAGCUGCGGAAGAGGCCCUGAUGGGGCCCACCAUCCCGGACCCAAGUCUUCUUCCUGGCGGGCCUCUCGUCUCCUUCCUGGUUUGGGGUGAGUUUCUUGCUUUCUUGAGACCCAGGAUUUUAUUAGGGUCAGCUCAUGUCUCUCCUCUCUGAUCAACAAGAGUGUCACGGAAGCCAUCACCUGGAUGCCUACGUGGGAAGGGACCUCGAAUGUGGGACCCCAGCCCCUCUCCAGCUCGAAAUCGUGGCAGACUAGGAUGGAAGUGCCCUGUGAGCUGGGGGGCCCUUCAAAGGGCCAAGGAGAAAACGCAGGCCGAGGGACCAGCCUUCCAAAUGGGCUUCAAGCUCCAAUGACCUCCGCUCGCCCCCUCGAAAUGUCUGGAAAACAUAAUGGGCAGAUUUUCUGUCUUCAAAGUUUCCGGCUAAACCUCUUCAAGUUCUUUAUUGUUUGGGACUGAGACACUCAGCCAUGUUAAUGGGUAGUUUCUUUUGUAUUUGCCUUGAAAGGCCAAAAUAUUUUUAUAUUGCCACAGACAAAGCCACCUAUUUAAAAAUGAACUCCAUGUCCGUCGUUUCCCACCAGGAGACUAUGUACCAUGUGUGUGUCUCUAUGUAUUCUGGGGUCUUGAAACAGGUUUCUCAUGGGGAUGGUCAUUCACCACGGUCCAGAGGGGCAGAACAGGCGGCGCUUGCCUUGCCCAGGGGGCCUGGGGAACGUGGGCCCUCAUCUCAGAUCUGCCCCCAGUAUGUUUAGGACGCGAGCCCCAGAAGGAUCUGGGAGUAAACUUAACAUUCACUGUGUCUCUGCUCUGCAUCCGCCAUUUGUGUGUGUUUCUGGACUGUGGGCUGUGUGUACCUUGGUUGGUGACUCAGUGAGAAGAAGCAGGAAUGCCAAAGAUACUGUGAAUGUUCUGAGUUUUGUUGCUGUUGUUGUUGAGAGGUUGUUUCACUGGUAUCUAUUGCAUUGUAUAAUAAAUGACCAGAUGAAUGAAUGAGUGAAGCAAGAGAGAAUGAAUAAACAAGUAAAUAGGUAAAGAAGUAAGCAAGCCAGGAUGAGAGUGUGUGUACACAAGACCAUGGUUCAUCCGCUUUGAUGGCUAGGCAAUCAAUAUAUAAAUAGAAAAAAACCAGUGAAUCACUAAGUAAUAGGGCAACACACAAAGCGAUAUCAGGUGAUUAUGGACUAAGGGGUAUGUGUAACUCAAAUAUAUGCCUCUGACAUUUGACAAUGAAAAAGAACCUAAAUGAAAGAAAGAAUGGAUGUAUGAGUAGUGAAGUGCAGAAUGAGACAUAGAUUUUGAGGCCCGUCAAAAUGAAAAGAUGCAAGUUAGGGAACAAGUGAUCAAAAGGGAGAAGGGAAAGGUUUUUUUUAAAAAACCAAAACAACAAAGAAAGGUUAAAAAAAAAAACAGACUAGAGGAUGAGUAAUGAGUAACUCUGUAAGGAGGACCAUGUCAGACUAUUGUAAGCUAAGCAUUAGGACUGAUACAAAUAAUAUAUGCUCCUGGCAUAGAAAAAUAAACCACAGAGAACGAGUUCAAAGAAUAGCAAAGAAAGAAAGAGGACCCAGUGGGCGAAAGAUGAGAGUGUACUUUUACCAAAAGUUAUCUAAGCCUGAGCACUUGAAGUCUGCACAUAAAUAAAUAAAUGACAAAAGAAAGAAAAAAAGGCCAAAAAGUCUACAUUGCGUGUGUGGAUGGAUGAAUGAGCAGUGGGAGUGCAGCGCCAGGUGACAAGAUGUUGUGAGGGGUUUUGAGUCAUCCAGUCCUGGGCACUGAGGUCUGUUAGAUGAAAGGAUAUGAGAAAGGUAAUAUUGGUAAAUAAAGAAAUAGGAAACAAUGUAACAAAUGUUAAGUACAGAAAUACAUUAAUGGGUGGUAAAUAAAGAUGUAAAAGAAGGCAAUGCGAUCGAUGGUGGCAAAAGAUCAUCACAGAUUAAGGGCUAUGGCUGGUCCACUUCUAGAAAACCACAGGCUGUCCAUUAAAUAAUGAACAUCUAAGUGAACAAGUCAGUGAGUACCUAAAUAGACAAGGAUGAGGUGAAUGAGAAGACAUGGCCCCAUGGGUCCUCCUGAUGAGGGUGUUGGGGUCCCCCCUGGGCACCCCAGCUGCAUGAAAAUGAAGGACAGGAGGUAUGGAAAGCUAUGACAGAAGAGAGAAAGGAACGGUAAAAAGAAAUAACAACCAAAUGGAUAAAUGGGUAGAUCCACGAGAAGAGUUAGGCUAGGACUUGUCAUAAGGGCACCUGACUCCACUAAUAGAGGAAUAAAUGCCUAAUAAAAAGAGAGCAAGCAGGAAGGAAGGAUGCUAUGAAUGCAGGAAGGAAGUAAUGAGUGAGACGUGGAACCGCACGGCCAAGGAUGGACGUUUGCGGGUGGCUUUUUGAUGCGUACAGCCAAGCCACUCCAUGGCAAUGAGCUCCGAAGACAAAGUGCAAGAGAGAAUGAGUGAGAGAGUGAGAGAGAGAGAAACAAUAAAAAAUGGGAAGAAAUGUAAAAAGGAAGAAAGGAAGAGAGGUAAUAUAUUAAGGAAUAAAUACAUGCAUGCAGAUUUAAGACAGAGCCAUGCUAGAACAGGAAUGAAAGGCUGUGUGAACCAAGCAGACCGCUUAAUUGGCACCAGUGCUGCUGGUAUGGUCAAUCACCUACUCAACUAAGGAACGGCUCAAAGCAUACACAUGGGAGGGAGGAGUGGGGCCACAGAGAGAGGGCCCAUUAGUUGCAGAUUACGAUGUAUCCAGUUAGGUGCACCUGCCUUCGAGAAGUGUAAAAAUAAGUAUUUACAUAGAAAGAAAGACUGAAUGGAUGCACGGUGAAUGCAUGAAUGAUUGAACGACAGAAAAGAUUUGCAUUGACCGAUGAGGAGGGCAUUGUAGACAGGGAUGAGGGUCAUUGAUCCUGGGUGCAGAUCUCCAAAAGAAUGACAGAAAGAAAGAGGGAGUGGUGGAAAGAAACAAUAGGAUGGGAAAAAAUGAAAAUAGAAAAAAGGAAGUGAAAGAGAUAAUAAAUAAUUAGAUCAAAUAAGUUGAUGAAAGGGGACUGGUUUAGCACAAGCCAUCCACAUUAAUUCAAACCUGUGGCUCUGAAGUUUGUUUUUUAAAUGACCACAAGUGUAAGACUGAAUGAAAGAAUAAAUGCGUGCAUUCCAUAGGAUGCAAGAAAAGGAGUGAGGAAUGGGAAAAUUGGAAGAACGAGAGAGGGAGAGAUGUAAGAAAAGAAAGGAAAAGUGAAGUAGGCAUAUGAAAGAAAAGGCACUUCUUGGACAAGCACUGAAAUAUAAUGAGACAGUUUUACCCAUUAAAUAUAAUAAACAGUAAACGUUGAGGUUCAUCAAUAAAAGCACAGAUACCUGAAUAGAGGAGUGACCUGAAUAGAAUUCGUUCAGCCGAACGAAUGAGAAUGGAUGAUUUUCACUAUCCUGUGCACUCAAGGCCCAAAAGAGAAAGCAAGAGAGGAGAGAAUAUGGAAACGUAUGACAGGAUGUAUAUAAGCAAUACAAACAUAUUGAAUGAAUAAAUAAAGACAUAAAUAUGUGGGAGAGUGGACCACGCAAGGACAAAAAGAGGAGAGAAGGCAGCAAGAAUUAUGACUAAUUCAAAACUGGGUUCCUGAGAUAGUUAAAUAAAUCCUGCACCAAAUCCCCAGGGGGAGAAAUUAACAAACAAAAGACAGCCCCACACGGACCAGUGUGCAGAAGGCUCCAGGAACCGCAGAUUAUGGUUAAUCCAAUUCUGUGCACCUGAGGUCCAUAAAUAAAAGAAUAAGUAUUGAAAUGAAAGAAUGACAGAAAGAAUGAAUGGACACAUGAACGACUGAAUUAGAAAUGGAAAUGCCUGGCACAGCCAGGAAGGAGCUGCCCAUGGGAUUGUCAUUCAUCUCACUCUGGGCACCUGAGGUCCAUAAGCGUGAAAAGAGGCAGGAAGAGAAGUGUCAGGGAGUCAAAGAUAGAGCUAAGGAAAGGCAAAAAUGAAACUAAAUGAAAGCGAAAGGGAAAAUAAAGAAAAACCAAUAAAAAAGAGAACGAAUACGUGGGUGUAUCUGUAAGAGUAGGAUCUGUUAGGAUUAGUCAUAAGACUGUCAGUAAUCCUGAAGAUGGAUGAGAUAAUCCAGGCCCAGGUUCCCAGGGGGAGGGAAAAUGGAGAAAAUAUAAAAAGAUGUGAAAAAGGAAAAAGGAAAGGUAAUAAACAAACAACCAAAGUGAUAAAUGGAUAGUUAAGGGAGGUUGUCUGAACAGGGAUUAUAAUUAGUUUACAUACAUACUCCUUAAACAGAUAAAUACAUUACACCUUUCAAAGAAUAAAUGAAAAAUAGAGAGACAUACCUGGCUCCAAAACAAGGCUGUAUCUUCUGCCACUGUAAUAAAAUAGAUGCAAUUGAGGUUCAUAAAUAAAAGAAUAAAUACUUCCUCCACAGCCACGGGGACACCCUGCACCUAUUCCCACGGGACAGGCUGGACCCAGAGACUCUGGACCCGGGGCCUCCCCUUGAGUAGAGACCCGCCCUCUGACUGAUGGACGCCGCUGACCUGGGGUCAGACCCGUGGGCUGGACCCCUGCCCACCCCGCAGGAACCCUGAGGCCUAGGGGAGCUGUUGAGCCUUCAGUGUCUGCAUGUGGGAAGUGGGCUCCUUCACCUACCUCACAGGGCUGUUGUGAGGGGCGCUGUGAUGCGGUUCCAAAGCACAGGGCUUGGCGCACCCCACUGUGCUCUCAAUAAAUGUGUUUCCUGUCUUAACAAAAACUG